rnacentral:tRNA from 1 species
GCCCCUAUCGUCUAGAGGCCUAGGACACCUCCCUUUCACGGAGGAGACCGGGAUUCGAAUUCCCGUGGGGGUA